AGAGUUUGAUCCUGGCUCAGAUUGAACGCUGGCGGCAUGCCUUACACAUGCAAGUCGAACGGCAGCACGGACUUCGGUCUGGUGGCGAGUGGCGAACGGGUGAGUAAUAUAUCGGAACGUACCCUGGAGUGGGGGAUAACGCAGCGAAAGUUGCGCUAAUACCGCAUACGAUCUACGGAUGAAAGUGGGGGCUCGCAAGACCUCAUGCUCGUGGAGCGGCCGAUAUCUGAUUAGCUAGUUGGUAGGGUAAAAGCCUACCAAGGCUUCGAUCAGUAGCUGGUCUGAGAGGACGACCAGCCACACUGGGACUGAGACACGGCCCAGACUCCUACGGGAGGCAGCAGUGGGGAAUUUUGGACAAUGGUGGCAACCCUGAUCCAGCAAUGCCGCGUGAGUGAAGAAGGCCUUCGGGUUGUAAAGCUCUUUUGUCAGGGAAGAAACGGUGAAGGCUAAUACUCUUUGCUAAUGACGGUACCUGAAGAA
rnacentral:rRNA from 1 species